GAUGAAGAACGUAGCGAAAUGCGAUAAGUAGUGUGAAUUGCAGAAUUCAGUGAAUCAUCGAAUCUUUGAACGCACAUUGCGCCUUCUAGUAUUCUGGGAGGCAUGCCUGUUUGAGCGUCAUUAAACCUCUCUCAAGUAUGAUUACUUGGAUGUGAAGGAAGAGUACCUUAAACUUAAGGAGUGUUCUCCUUUGAAAUUGAUUAGCAGAUGGUAAUGUUAUUAAAUCCCUGAUGUUGUAAGAAAUAACAGUGGUUUUGUAGACUAUUAUCUAGCUUUAAAUUAUAAUUUUUAUUAUGGUUGACCUCAAAUAAGGUAAGGAUACCCGCUGAACUUAAGCAUAUCAAUAAGCGGAGGA
rnacentral:misc_RNA from 1 species